rnacentral:rRNA from 1 species
AUACGUAGGGGGCGAGCGUUGUCCGGAAUGAUUGGGCGUAAAGGGCGCGUAGGCGGCGCGGUAAGUCUGGAGUGAAAGUCCUGCUAUCAAGGUGGGAAUUGCUUUGGAUACUGCCGCGCUUGAGUGCAGGAGAGGUUAUCGGAAUUCCCGGUGUAGCGGUGAAAUGCGUAGAGAUCGGGAGGAACACCGGUGGCGAAGGCGGCUUACUGGGCUUUUACUGACGCUGAGGCUCGAAAGCGUGGGGAGCAAACAGGAUUAGAUACCCUGGUAGUCCUAGCCGUAAACGAUGCGGACUUGGUGUUGGGAUGGCUUUGAGCCGCUUCGGUGCCGAAGGGAAGCUGUUAAGUCCGCCGCCUGGGAAGUACGGUCGCAAGACUGAAACUCAAAUGAAUUGGCGGGG